UACAGAGGUGGCAAGCGUUGUCCGGAAUUAUUGGGCGUAAAGGGCUCGUAGGCGGUCCGUCACGUCGGGAGUGAAAACUCGGGGCUCAACCCCGAGCCUGCUUUCGAUACGGGCGGACUAGAGGUAAGUAGGGGAGAACGGAAUUCCUGGUGUAGCGGUGGAAUGCGCAGAUAUCAGGAGGAACACCGGUGGCGAAGGCGGUUCUCUGGGCCUUACCUGACGCUGAGGAGCGAAAGCGUGGGGAGCGAACAGG
rnacentral:rRNA from 1 species